rnacentral:rRNA from 1 species
UGGGGAAUUUUGGACAAUGGGCGCAAGCCUGAUCCAGCAAUGCCGCGUGCAGGAUGAAGGCCUUAGGGUUGUAAACUGCUUUUGUACGGAGCGAAAAGGUCUGCCCUAAUACGGUGGGCUCAUGACGGUACCGUAAGAAUAAGCACCGGCUAACUACGUGCCAGCAGCCGAGGUAAUACGUAGGGUGCGAGCGUGAAUCGGAAUUACUGGGCGUAAAGCGUGCGCAGGCGGUUCUAUAAGACAGAUGUGAAAUCCCCGGGCUCAACCUGGGACCUGCAUUUGUUACUGUAUAGCUAGAGUACGGUAGAGAGGGAUGGAAUUCCACGUGUAGCAGUGAAAUGCGUAGAUAUGCGGAGGAACACCGAUGGCGAAGGCAAUCCCCUGGACCUAUACUGACGCUCAUGCACGAAGGCGUGGGGAACAAACA